rnacentral:tRNA from 1 species
GGGAAUGUGGCUUAAUGGUAGAGUGCUUGCCUAGCAUGCAUGAAGUCCUGGGUUCAAUUCCCAGUGGCUCA